rnacentral:rRNA from 1 species
ACGGAAGGCAGCAGUGAGGAAUAUUGGUCAAUGGAGGAAACUCUGACGCAGUGACGCCGCGUGCAGGAAGAAGGUUUUCGGAUUGUAAACUGCUUUAGACAGGGAAGAAAAAAAUGACAGUACCUGUAGAAUAAGCUCCGGCUAACUAAGUGCCAGCAGCCGCGGUAAUACGUAGGGAGCAAGCGUUAUCCGGAUUUAUUGGGUGUAAAGGGUGCGUAGACGGGAAGUUAAGUUAGUUGUGAAAUCCCACGGCUCAACUGUGGAACUGCAACUAAAACUGAUUUUCUUGAGUACUGGAGAGGAAAGUGGAAUUCCUAGUGUAGCGGUGAAAUGCGUAGAUAUUAGGAGGAACACCAGUGGCAAAGGCGACUUUCUGGACAGAAACUGACGUUGAGGCACGAAAGUGGGGGGAGCAAACAGGAUUAGAUACCCUGGUA